rnacentral:rRNA from 1 species
GUAAUACCGGAUGCUCCGCUCCAUCGCAUGGUGGGGUGGGAAAUGCUUUUGCGGCAUGGGAUGGGGUCGCGUCCUAUCAGCUUGUUGGCGGGGUGAUGGCCCACCAAGGCGUUGACGGGUAGCCGGCCUGAGAGGGUGACCGGCCACAUUGGGACUGAGAUACGGCCCAGACUCCUACGGGAGGCAGCAGUGGGGAAUAUUGCACAAUGGGCGCAAGCCUGAUGCAGCGACGCCGCGUGCGGGAUGGAGGCCUUCGGGUUGUAAACCGCUUUUGUUCAAGGGCAAGGCACGGUUUCGGCCGUGUUGAGUGGAUUGUUCGAAUAAGCACCGGCUAACUACGUGCCAGCAGCCGCGGUAAUACGUAGGGUGCGAGCGUUAUCCGGAUUUAUUGGGCGUAAAGGGCUCGUAGGCGGUUCGUCGCGUCCGGUGUGAAAGUCCAUCGCCUAACGGUGGAUCUGCGCCGGGUACGGGCGGGCUGGAGUGCGGUAGGGGAGACUGGAAUUCCCGGUGUAACGGUGGAAUGUGUAGAUUCGAAAAAAAAAACCCAA